GUAGUCAUAUGCUUGUCUCAAAGAUUAAGGCAUGCAUGUCUAAGUAUAAGCAGUUAUACCGCGAAACUGCGAAUGGCUCAUUAUAUAAGUUAUCGUUUAUUUGAUAGUACCUUACUACUUGGAUAACCGUGGUAAUUCUAGAGCUAAUACAUGCUAAAAAUCCCGACUUCGGAAGGGAUGUAUUUAUUAGAUUAAAAGCCAAUGCCCUCUGGGCUCUCUGGUGAUUCAUGAUAACUUCUCGAAUCGCAUGGCCUUGCGCCGGCGAUGGUUCAUUCAAAUUUCUUCCCUAUCAACUUUCGAUGUUUGGGUAUUGGCCAAACAUGGUUGCAACGGGUAACGGAGGGUUAGGGCUCGACCCCGGAGAAGGAGCCUGAGAAACGGCUACUACAUCCAAGGAAGGCAGCAGGCGCGCAAAUUACCCAAUCCCGACACGGGGAGGUAGUGACAAUAAAUACUGAUACAGGGCUCUUUUGGGUCUUGUAAUUGGAAUGAGUACAGUUUAAAUCCCUUAACGAGGAACAAUUGGAGGGCAAGUCUUGUGCCAGCAGCC
rnacentral:rRNA from 1 species